GCACUGCUGAGGAGUCCCACAAUAGGACGAAACGGCUGUACAAUGC
rnacentral:hammerhead_ribozyme from 1 species